UGCCCACUGCCACACAGCAGCGCCGCCGCCGCCGCCAGCACAGGCGCCGGAGAACGACCGGGAAAUGGCCUUGCCGGCGAUCCCUAACGAGAUCCUGGCGGAUAUCUUCCUCCGCCUUCCCACCCCCAGAGGAUCUCAUCCGCGCCUCCGCCGCCUGCGUCUCCUUCCGCCGCCUCGUCGCCGACCACGCCUUCCUCCGGCGCUUCCGCAAGCUCCACCCUCCGCCCUCCUCGGCUUCGUCGACUACAGAGGCUUCCACCCCGCCGAACCGCCUCACCCCUCCGCGCCGGCGGCCAGCGCGGUCGCCAGCGCCGCGGACUUCGACUUCAAGUUCCCCCCCGAUGGCGAUACGGACUUGGACUGGACCGUGCGGGAAGUCCGCGACGGUCGCGUCCUCCUCGACAGACCCCGCCGCCACGACGAGCUCGAACCGCUCUUCAAGGAGAUGGUGGUGUGCGACCCCCUGCACCGGCAGUACCUCCUGCUUCCCCCAAUCCCCAGUGACCUAGCCGCUCCAGUGGUGAGCCAACUCCUGAUAGAAAGGUCGUGCUUGGCCCAGUGCUUCCUCGCCCCUCCCAGCGACGACCAAAUGGCAACCGCGACGGAGGAGACGUCAUUCAGAGUGAUCUGGCUGGUGGUGCUCCAGACCAGACCGGUGGCCCUCGUAUUCUCCUCCGGCACAGGGCAAUGGCAAGCCCCGAGUCGGAGCGAGUCGUUACCUGGCUUUUUGUUAUCGACAUGGAAGGUUUGGUUUGUGUCGCGCCAUUAUGCACAUGGUUGCUUCGACUGGGUUUCAGGUUCAUGUGAAAAACUGCUCGUGCUUGACAUCCAGAGGAUGGAGUUCUCCAUGGCUGACCACCCACCCUGUGUCAGAUUCCGGGGCGACGAUGUGGCAAUCGCGGAGGCAGGCCAAGGCAUGACUGUGAUGUUUGUGCCUAAACCGGACACAGAUCGCCGUAUUUAUACUGUUUGGCGGCGAAGCAAUGGUGGGAGUUCCGCCAAGUGGCAGAUGGAGAAUGAGACAUUCUCGCUGGAUUCUGGCUCCUUGAUCAAGGGUGCGGUGGGGAGGCACUUGCUCCUAUAUUAUGUUGGAAGCGUGUCGGUCAAGCCAGGUUGUUACAUCCGGGAUGUCGACACUUUGCAGCUUGAGAGGGUGUGUGAUUGAUAUCCCCAUCCGUCAGAAGUAUAUUGCAACUUCCCACCAUCGUUAUUAUCAUCACCGAUGGUGUCAAGUGUCCCACGCCACGCUGACCACCCAGGAGUGGAUGACGUUGUGUCGGCACCAGAACCACGAGAAGCUGACCCUGGAGGCGUGGAAGGACCUAUUGGUCAAGAACUGAUGGACCUCGCCGGGGGACCACCGUGCAAGCGCCGUCGUCGCUGUGGCCGCUCGGGCUCCAGAACCCGCGGAGGCAGGUCGCGGUGGACGGGGAGAAGGAGGCUGAGGCUUGACCCGUGGUGGAUGAGGGCCUGGGGGCGGAUGAGGGGCCAAAUCAAGGUGUUGUCCAAGAUGGCUGCGACCAAGUCCUUGGGCGCCAGGGGCUUGCCUUGACCAGGAUGUGCUAGUAGCUAGCUGAUGGGGACAUGGAAUGACUCGAUCCUUUUUGUAAGGUUUAUACUAUUGGUCUGCUGCGUGUUGAUCCUUUUUGGUUCGAAAACACAAAAUGGUACCACUGUCAACACGCAGACGGCAUCAAGCCGCGGUCUUCUA